rnacentral:misc_RNA from 1 species
AUGGCCAAGAUCUCCUUGUAAACAGAGUGAUAAUGCUUUUGAGCAUUUUGGAAUCUCCAAUGGAAUGACCACAAAUGUACUUGUCACCAUUUACUUCUUUUAUCAGAAUGGCUCCCCAAUGCGUGAAGAUUCAAAUUCAGAGUCUGAAGCCCAAUAUCCUUCAUAGCUAGCCCAAAACAUCCAAAGUACCCACAUCACUCAUAGCCCAAACACUAUUCCUAUUCCUUUGGUCAACAUACAUAUUUUGCCCAGUAAAUAUUCUAGGCCCGUUUCAGUCAUUGGAUUUUUGGAUACUGUAGCCCAUAAGAGCAUAAUGAACCCGGCCAUUCUUCCAUCUGAAAG